UUUACAGUAAAAUAAAUUAUUCCCUAUUAAACUGUCUCAAUAACACACUAUCUAUUUAUUUAUAUUUUUUAAAAUAAAUUUAAUUAAACUGAUCGUCCUUAGAGCAAGUGGCAAAGGGUAACGUGCUACCUAUCUCUCAAAAAAAUAAUAAUAAUAAUUUAAAAUAUCUAUUAACAUAUAUAAUUUUUCAAUAAUCUUGCUGAUGUGGCACAACCAUAUUACUUUAGAAGUUUUUUUUUUUUUAAAAUU
rnacentral:lncRNA from 1 species